rnacentral:tRNA from 1 species
AGUUUUAUAAUCUAAUAAAGAUUAAAAGUUGCAACCUUUUAGAUAUAAAUUUAAAAUUUAUUAAGACUU